UUAAGUGAAUAAGGGCGCACGGUGGAUGCCUUGGCACUAGGAGCCGAUGAAGGACGGGACUAACACCGAUAUGCUUCGGGGAGCUGUAAGUAAGCUUUGAUCCGGAGAUUUCCGAAUGGGGGAACCCAGCAUCUUUUGUAGGAUGUUACCUUUAAGUGAAUUCAUAGCUUAUUGGAGGUAGACGCAGAGAACUGAAACAUCUAAGUACCUGCAGGAAGAGAAAGAAAAUUCGAUUCCCUGAGUAGCGGCGAGCGAAACGGGAACAGCCCAAACCAACAAGCUUGCUUGUUGGGGUUGUAGGACUCAAAUGUGGUAGUAAGCAAGAUAGCCGAAUGACUUGGAAAAGUCAGCCAAAGUGGGUGAAAGCCCCGUAGGCAAAAUUUUGUGAGCACCUAUGAGGAUCCUGAGUACGGCGGAACACGAGAAAUUCCGUCGGAAUCUAGGAGGACCAUCUCCUAAGGCUAAAUACUCCCUAGUGACCGAUAGCGAACCAGUACCGUGAGGGAAAGGUGAAAAGCACCCCGGGAGGGGAGUGAAAUAGAACCUGAAACCGUGUGCCUACAACAAGUUAGAGCCCGUUAAUGGGUGAUAGCGUGCCUUUUGUAGAAUGAACCGGCGAGUUACGAUUGCAUGCGAGGUUAAGUUGAAGAGACGGAGCCGUAGCGAAAGCGAGUCUGAAUAGGGCGAUAGAGUAUGUAGUCGUAGACCCGAAACCAUGUGAUCUACCCAUGUCCAGGUUGAAGGUGCGGUAAAACGCACUGGAGGACCGAACCAGGACACGUUGAAAAGUGUUUGGAUGAGGUGUGGGUAGCGGAGAAAUUCCAAACGAACUUGGAGAUAGCUGGUUCUCUCCGAAAUAGCUUUAGGGCUAGCCUCGGAAGUAAGAAUGAUGGAGGUAGAGCACUGUUUGGACUAGGGGCCCAUCUCGGGUUACCGAAUUCAGAUAAACUCCGAAUGCCAUUCAUUUAUAUCCGGGAGUCAGACUGCGAGUGAUAAGAUCCGUAGUCGAAAGGGAAACAGCCCAGACCACCAGCUAAGGUCCCCAAAUGUAUGUUAAGUGGAAAAGGAUGUGGGGUUGCACAGACAACUAGGAUGUUGGCUUAGAAGCAGCCACCAUUUAAAGAGUGCGUAAUAGCUCACUAGUCGAGUGACCCUGCGCCGAAAAUGUACCGGGGCUAAACAUACUACCGAAGCUGUGGAUUGUACUUACGUACAAUGGUAGGAGAGCGUUCUAAGGGCGUUGAAGGUAGAUCGUGAGGACUGCUGGAGCGCUUAGAAGUGAGAAUGCCGGUAUGAGUAGCGAAAGACAGGUGAGAAUCCUGUCCACCGAAUAACUAAGGUUUCCUGGGGAAGGCUCGUCCGCCCAGGGUUAGUCGGGACCUAAGCCGAGGCCGACAGGCGUAGGCGAUGGACAACAGGUUGAUAUUCCUGUACUCGUUGUUUUCGUUUGAGCAAUGGAGGGACGCAGGAGGCUAGGAAAAGCAGACGAAUGGAAAUGUCUGUCUAAGCAGUGAGUUUUGUGAUGAGUCAAAUGCUUGUCACUAUAAGAAUGAGCUGUGAUGGGGAGGUUGAUCUUGAAUCGACCGAGUUUCUGAUGUCACACUGUCAAGAAAAGCUUCU
rnacentral:rRNA from 1 species